GAGUAAACAAGGGAGUUGUAGCUGGCCGCAAGGCAUGUGCACGCUCUCUACUCAAUCCAACCUUACACCUGUGCACCUAUUGUAGGUCGAGUGGCUGGACUUGUUCUGGUCGCUCUUCCUAUGUUUUACACAUACACUUGUAGUCUCAGAAUGUAAUCCGCGUAUAACGCAUUAUAAAACAACUUUCAACAACGGAUCUCUUGGCUCUCGCAUCGAUGAAGAACGCAGCGAAAUGCGAUAAGUAAUGUGAAUUGCAGAAUUCAGUGAAUCAUCGAAUCUUUGAACGCACCUUGCGCUCCUUGGUAUUCCGAGGAGCAUGCCUGUUUGAGUGUCAUGAAUAUCUCAACUCAUCCGGUUUUUAUUGACUGUGGUGGGCUUGGACUUGGAGGUAUGCUGGCUGACUAGUCGGCUCCUCUCUAAAUGUAUUAGCUGGACCUGUUACGGAUCAGUACUCGGUGUGAUAAUUGUCUACGCCGUGUCUGUGAAGUGCUUGAAUGGACUAGCUUCUAACCGUCUUCGGACAACUAUUGACAUUUUGACCUCAAAU
rnacentral:rRNA from 1 species